GGAGACUUGCCCGAGUGGCCGAAGGGGCUCCCCUGCUAAGGGAGUAUGGGGUCAAAAGCUCCAUCGAGGGUUCGAAUCCCUCAGUCUCCGCCA
rnacentral:tRNA from 4 species